rnacentral:rRNA from 1 species
CUAAGUGGCGGACGGGUGAGUAAUGUAUAGUUAAUCUGCCCUUUAGAGGGGGAUAACAGUUGGAAACGACUGCUAAUACCCCAUACUCCUUUUACAUUAAUUGUAAUUGGGAAACGUUUUUUCGCUAAAGGAUGAGACUAUAUGGUAUCAGGUAGUUGGUGGGGUAAGAGCCCACCAAGCCAAUGACGCCUAGCUGGUCUGAGAGGAUGAUCAGCCACACUGGAACUAAGACACGGACCAG